rnacentral:rRNA from 1 species
UACGUAGGGGCCUAGCGUUGUCCGGAUUUAUUGGGCGUAAAGAGCUCGUAGGCGGUUCAGCAAGUCGGAUGUGAAAUCUCCACGCUUAACGUGGAGGGGCCAUUCGAAACUGCCGUGACUCGAGUCCGGUAGGGGAGUGUGGAAUUCCCGGUGUAGCGGUGAAAUGCGCAGAUAUCGGGAGGAACACCAGUAGCGAAGGCAGCUCGCUGGGACGGUACUGACGCUAAGGCGCGAAAGCGUGGGGAGCGAACAGG